ACCUGUUCUUAGUCCCUGCUUAUUCUUCGUGAAGAUCUGGGCUCGUCACAUAACAUCUGCUCAUUCAUGGAAGACAGAAGUCCUUUGAUUAAUAAAAGGCUUAAAAACCAGCUCAUCUCUGUACUGUAAGAAAAGCCAUUUUGGCCAGUGUGGUGUAAAGGAUUGCUGAUCAAGAACUUCCCUUCUUCCUUAAGACAUGAGACUCCCUAAAGGUCUUUUCAGAUCUGAAAUGGGAAGAAAUCCAAGGAGCAGCCAAAGAUCGCAUACUUAGAUUUUUUUUAAGUCUCUCCGCUGUGCCUGUGUGUGUGUGUAAAAUCACCCGCCCUCGUUUCGUAUCUUCUCAACCGCACUGUCGGGCCAAACAUCUGUAAGUGGCUUGACUUCCAAAAUGGCUUGCUCCUUCCGAGCC